CUUUGGGUCCCUCCCUUUGUAUGGGAGCUCUGCUUUCACUCUAUUAAAUCUUGCAACUGCACUCUCUUCCAGUCCGUGUUUGUUAGGGCUGGAGCUGAGCUUUCGCUCGCCAUCCACCACUGCCGUUUCCGGCCACUGCAGACCCGCCACUGACUUCCAUCCGUCCAGAUCCAGCAGGGAGUCCGCUGUGCUCCUGAUCCAGUGAGGUACCCAUUGCCGCUCCUGAUCAGGCUAAAGGCUUGCCCUUAUUCCUGCACAGCUAAGUGCCUGGGUUCGCCCUAAUGGAGCUGAACACUAGUCACUUGGUUCCACAGUUCUCUUCCGUGACCCAUGGCUUCUAAUAGAGCUGUAAUACUCACCGCAUGGCCCGAGAUUCCAUUCCUUGGAAUCCGUGAGCCCAAGAACCCCAGGUCAGAGAACACAAGGCUUGCCACCAUCUUGGAAGCGGCCUGCGGCCAGUUUGGAAGCGGCCCGUGGCCAUUUUGCAAGCAGCCCGCCACCAUCUUGGGAGCUCUGGGAGCAAGGACCCCCUGGUCACACAAUCGCUGAACUACAGCCCUCUGCUUCUGGCUCCCAACUUUCUGAAGCACUGUGGGGAAGAUGGUUCUUCACCAAUCCUGCAAUCCAACGGCCACCCAGUAAAAUGAGGAACAGACAUUCUUCCCAGCCCUGUGGGCUAGACGAGUAGCUAGUGUCUCUUCUAUAGGUUGGUAAUGGUUCCAGGUUGUAGAAUGAGGUCUUCAUGACUUACGGGGCUGUGGCAUCAUUGGGUUCCUGGAUGACAUUCUAAUAUGGUCCAUGACCUGCCUUAAGCUCCUGGGUAAACCCUCUCUUCAUGCAUAAUGUGGGUAAUGUAUUUAGCGUCUUUCUCCAAAGAAAAUCUCUAUGCUAACAAGGGUUAGUAGUGUGCUGGAAUGGUACACUCACCUCUCUUGCGCAUGGUAGCUCACCCCCUACUCCCUUUAACUAUCCAAAACACUCGAUGUCUCCUGAGCCUUGUUUAAUAACAGGGCCUUUUUUCCCUCCAGACAAUCCCAUCAAGAACCACCUAAAAAAAAGACAGCUAUUUAAAAAUCUGUGACACUCAAAAAAGUCUUCCAACAUAUGAAUGCCAGCUCUUUUUGUCUUUAAUCCUCUAUUUUUCUUACUGUUGGUAAGUAAAACUUAUGGGGAGGGGAGGGGGGUUUGUUUUUAUUUUGUUUUUUUAUAAGUGCACUUUUUCUUCAACCACCUUAUAUGCAGGAAGUGAAGUAAAUAUUGACCUAAAAACAUUAAAGCACCUUCAAAAACCAAGUAGUUUUUCCCCUAGAAUUACUGUACAACUAGAAAAUGGCCUUGGUUGUCAUUGGCCUUGGUUGUCAUUGACCUUGGUUUAAUGCCUGGUUAAACCCUAAGGAAACUGCUUCCAAGACAGGAUUUAGAUGCUCCAGAAGUUGUUAGAAUGUGGUGCACAAAAAAUAUUUCAUAUCCUGGUUUACUUGCCUGAAGAACCUCCAUGAAGUAGACUCUAUACAGGAAACAAUUCCAUCUUCCAGAGUGAAUAUUCACUCAUUUGCUUUUCCAGCCAGGAGACUGGAAGAAGCCAGCAGGCAAUGUAGUCAUUUGGUAAUGUUCUUCCUACUGCCAAGAUGGAUUAAUGCUGGGAGACCUUACAACGGGUACUUUCUUACACCCUGCCCACUGGACCAUGGGCCUCUGUGGUUCACUGGUUAACACUUGCCUAAUCAACUAGACAAACACAGGACGGGACAGCUGGGCGCUGAGCUGCCAGGGCACAUGUGGGAGCUGCUUCAAGACUGACCACGAGGCCAAAUUAAUCUAAGAACCUGUUGCAAGAGCAAAUGCUGUGAAGGCAAGAUGGAGGUGUCCCUGGGGGCCCAGUGGCUUCUCAGUGAAUGGGCUUCCAUUCUUCUUUUCUGCUUGACCAGCCUAAAAACAAGAGGCUGGCCUCACAGAGGAUUCUUCUUAGAAGAUAUUGCAGAGCCACUUAUAAGACCAACGUAUUUCACAGCCCAAUAUCCUUACUGACAUCUCAGACCACCCCUCUCCCCACCUUCUUUUAAUCACUUUCUUUUCUCCUCCAGGGCACAAACAGCUUUUAUGCAAAUUAUCUCUCAGGACAGGUGUGAGGGCUUUCCGCAAAGAAAGACUGAUCGCAUCCAAGGUCCUUUAUCCCUUAGAGGGCUCCCCAGGGACAAGCAACCUGUUCUGCCCCAGGGCUGCCGGACGCCCAGUUUUCCUGCUGUCUCUCAUCACAGGGGCGGUGGGGCGCGCCCGCCUCCAGCCUGGCUCUGGACCCGGGGCCCCGCCACCUCCCAGCAGCGGGCGCAGAGAGCCUUCUGGUUACCCCCGAAGCUGAGGAUUGCAGUGUUCUAGCAAUGGAUGAAAUCCUUUUUAACCGACUGUAAUAAAAAUAAGAUUGUGAAUAACAUGUGACUAUAGACCUCCAAAAAACUGGCGGCUGUG
rnacentral:lncRNA from 1 species